rnacentral:lncRNA from 10 species
AAGAGACUGUCAGCAGACCACCUUGGAGGGGAUGCUUGGAGCUGCCUAACGUGUGAUUCAAAGAUGAAUUCCAUGUGUUUGGAGAAGAAGCCCUAGCCUCAACACAAAGGUUGGCCACAUUCCAGCCAAGGUAGCACGGAGUGAAGGCCCGUGGAGGGAGAGCUGGGCUUUUCUGAACUACUUCAGUACACCUUGCUGUGCCUUGGCCUGCCGUGUUUCAUCCCCAUGGCUGUCCUCAGUGAUGUGCAUGGUCACUGCUCCCUUCACCACUGAGAAGACGGGCACAGGACAGUCAGGGGAUGUGUCCAAGGUCCCACAGCAGGAAGGGCUGGAGCCAGAAUGUGGUCUGAGAGGCUGGAUAUACAAAGAGACAAUGGCAUGACCAUCUGUACAAAUGGAACUAUGGCCCACAACCUGCAGCAGCCAGCCCAGGAAGCCAACCCGUCACCUGCAGCAGCCAGGAUGGAUGCUGGCCUGCCCUCAACCACAACAUUGAACCCAACAUCCCCCUAAGUAGGUUGUACUCACAUCAUUGGUCUUAUGGGGAAAUUUUAAGACCUCCCACUUGUAAGGUUUUAUAGCCCUCUAUGGAAUAUUGAAGAAAGAGUAAAAUGCAUCCAAAAAAAAAAAAAAACACUAAACUGGAUAAAUUCUAAGGCCUCUUCAGGUCUUAAGAUGGCCAUUUUCUAGGUCCUCUUGCUGCAGCAGUGAAAUCCACAAACACGGACAAGUCAGUCAGUUACGUGCCUUUCAGAGAAAACUUCUGACUUAGGAAUUCCAGCUAUUUGGCCCAACCCAUAUUAGAUUGUGUU